AAGUUUGUGAUGUAAUGGAAGCAUAUCAGACUCAUGAUCUGAAAGUAGCAGUUCGAUUCUGUUCAGACGAAAUG
rnacentral:tRNA from 1 species